rnacentral:rRNA from 1 species
GUUGUAUAGUCAAGUAAUUAAGUGCAUGUGGUGGAUGCCUUGGCAGUCAGAGGCGAUGAAAGACGUGAUAGCCUGCGAAAAGCUCCGGGGAGGCGGCAAAUAUCCUUUGAUCCGGAGAUGUCUGAAUGGGGGAACCCACCUACUUUAAGGUAGGUAUUGCAACAUGAAUACAUAGUGUUGCAAGGCGAACGAGGGGAAGUGAAACAUCUCAGUACCCUUAGGAAAAGAAAUCAAUUGAGAUUCCCUCAGUAGCGGCGAGCGAACGGGGAUCAGCCCAUUAAGUUAUGUGUGUUUUAGUGGAACGCUCUGGGAAGUGCGAACGUAGAGGGUGAUAUUCCCGUACACGAAAGGGCACACAUAAUGAUGACGAGUAGGGCGAGGCACGUGAAACCUUGUCUGAAUAUGGGGGGACCAUCCUCCAAGGCUAAAUACUCCUGACUGACCGAUAGUGAACCAGUACCGUGAGGGAAAGGCGAAAAGAACCCCUGUGAGGGGAGUGAAAUAGAUCCUGAAACCGCAUGCAUACAAGCAGUGGGAGCACCUUCGUGGUGUGACUGCGUACCUUUUGUAUAAUGGGUCAGCGACUUAUAUUCAGUAGCAAGGUUAACCGUAUAGGGGAGCCGUAGAGAAAUCGAGUCUUAAUAGGGCGUUUAGUUGCUGGGUAUAGACCCGAAACCAGGCGAUCUAUCCAUGAGCAGGUUGAAGGUUGGGUAACACUAACUGGAGGACCGAACCCACUGUCGUUGAAAAGCCAGGGGAUGACUUGUGGAUAGGGGUGAAAGGCUAAUCAAGCCUGGUGAUAGCUGGUUCUCCCCGAAAGCUAUUUAGGUAGCGCCUCGGACGAAUACCAUAGGGGGUAGAGCACUGUUUCGGCUAGGGGGUCAUCCCGACUUACCAAACCGAUGCAAACUCCGAAUACCUAUGAGUACUAUCCGGGAGACAGACUGCGGGUGCUAACGUCCGUAGUCAAGAGGAAAACAAUCCAGACCGCCAGCUAAGGCCCCAAAAUCAUAGUUAAGUGGGAAACGAUGUGGGAAGGCAUAGACAGCUAGGAGGUUGGCUUAGAAGCAGCCACCCUUUAAAGAAAGCGUAAUAGCUCACUAGUCGAGUCGGCCUGCGCGGAAGAUGUAACGGGGCUAAAACUAUGUGCCGAAGCUGCGGAUNNNNNNNNNNNNNNNNNNNNNNNNNNNNNUUGACAUUAGUCAAGUGGUAGGGGAGCGUUCUGUAAGCCGAUGAAGGUGUAUUGAGAAGUAUGCUGGAGGUAUCAGAAGUGCGAAUGCUGACGUGAGUAACGACAAAACGGGUGAAAAACCCGUUCGCCGAAAGACCAAGGGUUCCAGUCCAACGUUAA